ensembl:snoRNA U3 Small nucleolar RNA U3
AAGACUAUACUUUCAGGGGUCAUUUCUAUAGUUGUCAUAAUGUGACCAUUUUAACAAACACAAACUAUUUCAAAACAAAAUUAUAUAUGUCAGUUAUGGCAGCUUUAAGACCUUGGAGUUGU